UUAUAAUGUUUUUAAUCAUAAACUUAAUUCUUUUGGAUGAAUGAGCAUUGAGUCUAUGCUUACAUUUUUAUAACUCAAAGCUAAAAAAAAGUUUUGUACGAAUGUUUGAAAACAAAGUUGAGGAAUUUCAAGUGCAUUUAUAUGUUUUUAAGUGGUUUGGUGCAUAGAUUGUGGUGUUUUGGCUGCGUGUGGACAUAUUUUGAAACGGGAUAAUGAAUGUAAGCGAGCGCUCAUCCCAUCUGUCCUUUGCCCUAAUAGAAGCAAUGAUUGACUUCCUGGAGAGAAACCCAGAUCUGGCAAAGGGUUUUUCAAAAACUCAAUAUGCCAGAGAGUGGAGCACUAGGAAGUUUUGUCAUAGCGGCUCAAUAAUAUGGGUGGGACGAUUAAAACAUACAAGCAGUGGACCAAACAAUCAGACCCAG